AUCGAUGCUUGUUUGUGGUAGUGAACGCACGUGUUAUUGAAAAUUUUUUCAUUUUAAUUUUCUAUUUGGCGUAUAUUUCAUUCAAGCUACGAUUUUUCUUUGUUUUUGUUGGUGGUGGUUGUAGUGUAUCGUGUUUAGUGAUAUCUGCGCUUGACUGAUACAUUCGAGUUUCUUAAAAAUCUAUGAGAUGUAAAACUAUCCACAACGUGACAUUGGCAAAAUUGUGGCAACGCAGCACUGCCAUUCAUAAAAUAAAAUUGAAUUGAAUUGAA